GCAUAACCCUAAUAUCACCCUGAAUGUGCCCGGUCUUAUCUGAUCUUGGAAGCUAAGUAGGGUUGGGGCCUGAUAGUACUUGGAUGGGAGACCGCCUGGGAAUACUGGGUGCUGUAGGCU
rfam:Papio anubis isolate 1X1155 chromosome 19, whole genome shotgun sequence.